UGCCAGCCGCCGCGGUAAUACGGAGGGAGCUAGCGUUGUUCGGAAUUACUGGGCGUAAAGGGCGCGCAGGCGGUCUUGUCCGUCAGGUGUGAAAGCUCGGGGCUCAACCCCGGAAGUGCACUUGAAACAGCAAGACUUGAAUACGGUAGAGGAGAGAGGAAUUCCUGGUGUAGAGGUGAAAUGCGUAGAUAUCUGGAGGAACAUCAGUGGCGAAGGCGGCUCCCUGGCCAAAGACUGACGCUCAUGUGCGAAAGUGUGGGUAGCAAACAGGAUUAGAUA
rnacentral:rRNA from 1 species